rnacentral:rRNA from 1 species
AGUGGCAAACGGGUGAGUAAUGCAUAGGAACGUGCUCAUGAGUGGGGGAAAGCUGCUGGAAACGGCAGGUAAUACCGCAUGUGCCCUAAGGGGUAAAGAUUUCGAUCGCUCAUGAAGCGGCCUAUGUCAGAUUAGGUAGUUGGUGGGGUAAUGGCCUACCAAGCCUGCGAUCUGUAGCUGGUCUGAGAGGACGAUCAGCCACACUAGGACUGAGAUACGGCCUAGACUCCUACGGGAGGCAGCAGUAGGGAAUAUUGGACAAUGGGGGAAACCCUGAUCCAGCGAUGCCGCGUGAAUGAUGAAGGCUUUAGGGUCGUAAAAUUCUUUUAGUAGGGACGAUGAUGACGGUACCUACUGAAUAAGCACCGGCAAACUUCGUGCCAGCAGCCGCGGUAAUACGAAGGGUGCAAGCGUUGUUCGGAAUUAUUGGGCGUAAAGGGCGCGUAGGCGGGCUCUUAAGUUGGUUGUUAAAUUCCGGAGCUUAACUCCGUGAGUGCAUUCAAUACUGAGAGCCUAGAGUUUGGAAGAGGAAAGCGGAAUUCCUAGUGUAGAGGUGAAAUUCGUAGAUAUUGGGAGGAACGCCAAUGGCGGAAGCAGCUU